rnacentral:rRNA from 1 species
AUUGAACGCUGGCGGAAUGCUUUACACAUGCAAGUCGAACGGCAGCACGGGUGCUUGCACCUGGUGGCGAGUGGCGAACGGGUGAGUAACACAUCGGAACGUACCCAGUUAUGGGGGAUAACUAACCGAAAGGUUAGCUAAUACCGCAUACGCCCUGAGGGGGAAAGCGGGGGACCGUAAGGCCUCGCGUAAUUGGAGCGGCCGAUGUCUGAUUAGCUAGUUGGUGAGGUAAAGGCUCAACAAGGCGACGAUCAGUAGCAGGUCUGAGAGGAUAAUCUGCCACACUGGAACUGAGACACGGUCCAGACUCCUACGGGAGGCAGCAGUGGGGAAUUUUGGACAAUGGGCGAAAGCCUGAUCCAGCCAUUCCGCGUGAGUGAAGAAGGCCUUCGGGUUGUAAAGCUCUUUCGGCAGGGAAGAAACGCUCUGGGAUAAUACUCCGGGGUAAUGACGGUACCUGAAGAAGAAGCACCGGCUAACUACGUGCCAGCCGCCGCGGUAA